CUUUCGACUUGUUAGGUGGGUACUUAAGGACUGGGUUGGAAACCACUGUCCUAGAGAGAUGCUUGUGUUUUUACUUUCUUUAAUUACAUGGUAAAUGAUGAACCACCCUCAGUAGCAUAUACUUCACUUGUUCUUCUAGAAGUGUAUGCAUCAGAGGACAUUCUUGAACUACGAUUUCCAAUUAUAUAUCGUUUGCCAGUGCACCAUAGGUCUUGC